ACGGAUCUAAACCUCAACGAAUCAGUGUGCGUCCUUCUCUGAAACAGACAUAUCACAAAGCAAAAUGAGGCCAGCGGGCUUGAUCCUCGAUUGUACGGGGGUAAAAACAAGAAAAAGGUACUAUGAGGCCAAGGCCAGCUCAAUUGAUGAAAACGUAUAGUUGAUGGUGGCCUAGGCCAGCCCAAUCGAUAAAACAUUAGUACUGCAGUUUUUAAUUUGACACUCAAUGUUUUUUUUCCCCUUUCCCUUGUAAGUGUUAGAUUGUCCCCAUACUACUCUGAAGUCUAAAUGAGUAAAUAUCCACACAUCCAUGCUAUUCUUUUACUUCGUUAAAUGACUGGAACAUCUUUGAUGUACAAAUUUAACAUUUUUCCAUACCAAAUAUUUACCGUCAUGCUUUGUCCCACCACCCACAAUCCUUGAGAAUACUUUUUUCCUCCUCUAUCCCCACCAACCCCCCCCCCCCACCAAAAAAAAAAGAAACAAAAAAAGACAGAAAGAGAACAAGAAACUCGUCAAAAAAAUUUUUUGUCCUUAGUUGUUUUUUGGAAAACCAACUAAAACUUGCUUAACUGUGAGCAACAAAUUGCCCCAUAUUAUAUAUUUCCCAUGAUUUCUCAUACCAAAAUAAGGAAAAUCAAAUAGUGUGUCAUUAGAGGGAAAAGAAGAAUUAAAAUGAGAGAGGACUGACGACUGAGGGCAACAAGCACGGGUUCAAGUCAUUAGUGAGAGUAAAUGGGGCAGCUGUGGCGUACUGUGAUAGACGGUAAAUCAAGAGCAAUGUAAACGAUGAUGGUUAGCCAAGUAGCAGGCCGGCCUAGUAAGUAGAAAUCAGCAAUAGAGAAGAAGUGAGUGUCAUUUUGUAAAGGGCCCAAGUCGGAAUGGAGGAAGAGAAUUUCCAAUUUCUGAUCCGUAAGAGAGCCUCUAAAAUUUCUGGUGGGCGCCUAAAGUCUGAGCCACAAAACAACGGAGUCACCCAUCCAUCCCCCGCUCCGUUCAUGGCCAACCAAUCAUCCCUCUGUCAACUUUGUCUCCAACCACCAUCUUUACCACCGCCGCCUCAACUACUGCUGCUGGCUGUAACUGAGCAAAUCAAUUGAAAAAUUCAUUCACAUGUCUUCACAUCAGUCACCACCACCACCAUCUUUACCUCAGCCGCACCACCUUCAACUCCAAUCUCCUCAUCAUCUCCCCAAAAAACCAUCACUUCACUCCCAGACUUCAUCUUCACCGCCUUCUCCCUCUUCCUUCUCGUCUCUUCUCCCAAAUCCCCACCACCGCUUUCAUCCCCC
rnacentral:lncRNA from 1 species